rnacentral:tRNA from 1 species
AGGGUAUAGCUCAAGAGGCAGAGCGCAUGCUCAGCACGCAAGAGGUCCUGGGUUCAAUCCCCAGUACUCCUC